UGCGUAAUAGCUCACUGGUCGAGUGACUCUGCGCCGAAAAUUUAACGGGGCUAAAUCGUACACCGAAGCUUGGGAAUAUCAGUUAUUCUUCAUGGACUUGCAAGGAAAGAGACCAUGGCACGAAGUGCCAUCAAAUUGUCCAUAAGGAUAAAGCGAGCUUGUGAAGAAUAACUGAUGUUGGUAGGAGAGCGUUGAAUGCGGGGUGAAGUCAGAGCGAAAGCGCUGGUGGACUGCAUUGAAGUGAGAAUGCCGGAAUGAGUAGCGAGAUUUAUGUGAGAAUCAUAAAGGCCGAAAGACUAAGGUUUCAGAAGGAAGGUUCGUCCGCUUCUGGUUAGCCGGGAGCUAAGGUGAGGCCGAAAGGCGUAGCCGAUGCACAUACGGUGGAGAUUCCGUAGCCGUCAAAAUAUUUAAGCAAAGGGACACUUAUGAAGGGCAUGACCCGGGCGAUGGUAGCCCCGGGCGUAAGGGACCGAAAAUAAGUAGGGAAGCAUGUUUGGAAUAAGGCGAGAAAAGCUUUGUGGAUAUAUGAGACGUCCGUACCGCAAACCGACACAGGUAGUCAGGAAGAGGAUUCUAAGGCCAACGGGAGAAGGGUAGUUAAGGAACUCGGCAAAUUGACCCCGUAACUUCGGAAUAAGGGGCGGUGCGUAAGCACCCGCAGUGAAUAGGUCCAGGCGACUGUUUAUCAAAAACACAGCUCUCUGCUAAAUCGAAAGAUGACGUAUAGGGGGUGACACCUGCCCGGUGCUGGAAGGUUAAGAGGAGGAGUGCAAGCUCCGAAUUGAAGCCCCAGUAAACGGCGGCCGUAACUAUAACGGUCCUAAGGUAGCGAAAUUCCUUGUCGGGUAAGUUCCGACCCGCACGAAUGGCGUAACGACUUGUGAGCUGUCUCAACAGGAGGCCCGGUGAAAUUGAAGUAUGUGUGAAGAUGCACAUUACCCGCGACUGGACGGAAAGACCCCGUAGAGCUUUACUGUAACCUGACAUUGGAUCUUGAUAACGGAUGCACAGGAUAGGUGGGACGCUGGGAGACGAGGACUUUGGUUUUCGUGGAGCGGCCGUUGGGAUACCACUCUUCUGUUAUUGAGAUUCUAACCUCAAGCCGUGAGCCGGAUGAGAGACAGUGUCAGGCGGACAGUUUGACUGGGGCGGUCGCCUCCGAAAGAGUAACGGAGGCGCCCAAAGGUACCCUCAGAAUGGAUGGAAACCAUUCGAAGAGAGCAAAGUCAGAAGGGUGCUUGACUGCGAGACCAACAAGUCGAGCAGGUACGAAAGUAGGGCUUAGUGAUCCGGCGGUAAGAGAGUGGAAUUGCCGUCGCUCAACGGAUAAAAGCUACCUCGGGGAUAACAGGCUGAUCUCCCCCAAGAGUUCACAUCGACGGGGAGGUUUGGCAC
rnacentral:rRNA from 1 species